rnacentral:rRNA from 1 species
AUUGAACGCUGGCGGCAUGCUUUACACAUGCAAGUCGAACGGUAACAGGUUAAGCUGACGAGUGGCGAACGGGUGAGUAAUGCAUCGGAACGUGCCCGGUCGUGGGGGAUAACACUUCGAAAGAAGUGCUAAUACCGCAUACGAUCUGAGGAUGAAAGCGGGGGACCGUAAGGCCUCGCGCGAUCGGAGCGGCCGAUGUCAGAUUCGGUAGUUGGUGGGGUAAAGGCUCACCAAGCCGACGAUCUGUAGCUGGUCUGAGAGGACGACCAGCCACACUGGGACUGAGACACGGCCAAGACUCUCACGGGAGGCAGCAGUGGGGAAUUUUGGACAAUGGGCGCAAGCCUGAUCCAGCAAUGCCGCGUGCAGGAAGAAGGCCUUCGGGUUGUAAACUGCUUAUGUACGGAGCGAAAAGGCUCUCUCUAAUACGGAGGGCUCAUGACGGUACCGUAAGAAUAAGCACCGGCUAACUACGUGCCAGCCGCCGCCGUAA